AGAUGGGAUAAAUAUUUUAAUUUAUUAAUAGCAUAACAACUAAAAUCAUGAGCUCCUUAAAAACUCAGCGGUAGAGGGUAAUAGAUACCCCCAAAGUCAAGAUGAACUUGAGGCUUUUUAGCUUGGUAAUAAUUAAAAUGCAGAUAUGAUAAAUAGAUUUUCUCUAACCUGAUAAUAAUGUCCAUGGAGACAUGGUAGGAUGAGAGUAAGGAAACAGAAAAAAACAUCUUUUCUCCAUAUUUCCUUCUGUUCAAUAGAGAGGUGGCAGUCUCUAGGGACAGAACAUUGUAUUCAUUGUCAUAUGUGGCUGCUGGUUUGUUUUAGUUAGCCAUCUUUCUUUUCUUUUCUAACCCUUACUUUCUGUCUUAGAAUUGAUACUGAGUAUAGAUUCUAAGGCAGAGGGGCAGUAAGGACUAUUAAAGUUAAGUGACUCACCCAGGGUUACAUAGCUAGGAAGUGUCUGAAGUCAAAUUUGAACUCCAUAUCUCCCAUCUUCAGGUUGGGCUUCCUAUCAACUGAAUCAGCUAGCUAUCCCCAUAGCCAUCUUUCUUACAAGGAAGGGCUCUAUAGGGGUGGUGGUGAGGAAAUUGCAAAGUGAGAGAAAUAGAAUAUAACUUCUGUAAGAGAAGGUUUGAAAUCUGAGAGAGAAAUGAACUUGGAAGAACUGCAGAAUUCUACAGCAGUGGGAUGUGGGUGAAAAAGGAACACAGAACUUUGGAGAGAGAGAGAGGAGAGAAUAGUUCUGAUCCAGCAGUUGGAAACUGACUUCUGUCUGGAAAGACACACCAGAGAGUCGGCGUUGAAUGCCCAGAGACUGGCCCAGGUUACUUUCAAGGAAGCUUUCACAGAUAUGGUUUUCUUGGGAGAAGCUGCCACAAGAUGGCAGUGCCUCAGAUCACAGAGGUUCCUCCACUUUUAGAAACAAAGAGGCGGAAGUCAUGAACAGCAAAGCUGCUGGGGAGAAUCUUGGAAUCCACAGCAUUUCAGAACUUAAAGGAUCCUUUGAAAGGUCCAGAAAAUGAAGAGGACAGGUGCCCAUGACAUGGACUGAAUGUGUACUAGUUUGCAGCUCAGAGUAACCAGAGAGAUCACCAUGUUGUUUGUAAAAUUACAACUUCAACCACAGAAAUCAUGAGUUGCUAUGGAUAUACUCUUAUUCCCUGGACUUUUGGACACUUUACCGAUGAGAAGUGAAAGCAUAGAUGGCAUACUUAUUAAAUUUCUUGGGAAAAAGUCUUGGUGGUGGUAAUAAAAGAAAAAAAGAAAGAAACUCCA
rnacentral:lncRNA from 1 species